GAACUGCCUCAGAAGAUGCCACCAAUCCUUUAGAAGAGCGAGAUAGAAUUUCAUUGGCUUCCUCCCUGUCUUCGACAAAGUAAAGAUGCUUAUUUGAUGGCUGAUUAUCAAGAGAAUGCAACGUUGCCGUCAGUUUUUCAAUUUUCCUUUUCUCACUCUGCAUUUUCUGAAGUAUAUACCCUGCAUCUUGGGUCUUCAUCAGCAUGAGUUGCUCUGC
rnacentral:misc_RNA from 1 species